AAGUUAGAAAAAAUUUCUUUCUUUCAUUUUCUCUUUCUAAGUUUGCUCUCCCUUCUCUCUUCCCCUCUUGUAUAAUAUUUCAAGGUUUAAUAAAAGAAGGCAGCUAGCCGACAUUUACUAUUCCGGCCUUGCAUCCGGCUACUAUUAAGGUUUAGAGGCAUUUUUUCAUGAUUCUGUGCAGCGCUAGGAUAUUCUCGGGGCAGCAAGUGAGGAGUGGGCUUAGGCUCGGGUCGUGAUAACAAUAGCUUUACUAGUUACUCCAAGGCUUUCCUUCUAAUGCGCAGGAUCCGGAGAAGGACCCGACCCCACAAAGGAUCCUGAUUGGGUAAAGAAUCGCUCAAAGCACAGAAACGACUCCAUUACAAUGAAAAAAUUGAAGGAUAAGACCGCUUCUAAAUCGAAGAAGUCUACUUCAAAAGCAAGUAAAAAGAAACUUGAUGAUUCCGGCCGACCAUGUCUCUGAAGAUAUUUAUUAUGAGUGUAUGUAUAAUUUGACAUAUGUAUAAUAAGACACGAUACAUUAGUUUUUCAUCACAAGAAGGUAUAAUGUAGUUGUUCUGAAAUAUUAUUCUAAAGGUUAUAAAUUCUAAUAAAGCUGAUAUUAAUUUUUGAAAUGUA